AGGAGGAACAACCACAGUGGUGGGGCCAGCUCUGGAGCCCUGGAGUCAGCUCCCGCAGUUACUCCGGAGCUCUUCGUCUGCAGUGCCUGGAGGCUCUGGGGCGGG
rnacentral:pre_miRNA from 1 species